CAAGUCGAGCGGACAGAAGGGAGCUUGCUCCUGGAUGUUAGCGGCGGACGGGUGAGUAACACGUGGGUAACCUGCCUGUAAGACUGGGAUAACUCCGGGAAACCGGAGCUAAUACCGGAUAGUUCCUUGAACCGCAUGGUUCAAGGAUGAAAGACGGUUUCGGCUGUCACUUACAGAUGGACCCGCGGCGCAUUAGCUAGUUGGUGGGGUAAUGGCUCACCAAGGCGACGAUGCGUAGCCGACCUGAGAGGGUGAUCGGCCACACUGGGACUGAGACACGGCCCAGACUCCUACGGGAGGCAGCAGUAGGGAAUCUUCCGCAAUGGACGAAAGUCUGACGGAGCAACGCCGCGUGAGUGAUGAAGGUUUUCGGAUCGUAAAGCUCUGUUGUUAGGGAAGAACAAGUGCGAGAGUAACUGCUCGCACCUUGACGGUACCUAACCAGAAAGCCACGGCUAACUACGUGCCAGCAGCCGCGGUAAUACGUAGGUGGCAAGCGUUGUCCGGAAUUAUUGGGCGUAAAGGGCUCGCAGGCGGUUUCUUAAGUCUGAUGUGAAAGCCCCCGGCUCAACCGGGGAGGGUCAUUGGAAACUGGGAAACUUGAGUGCAGAAGAGGAGAGUGGAAUUCCACGUGUAGCGGUGAAAUGCGUAGAGAUGUGGAGGAACACCAGUGGCG
rnacentral:rRNA from 1 species